AGUGAACGCUGGCGGUAGGCCUAACACAUGCAAGUCGAACGGCAGCACAGUAAGAGCUUGCUCUUACGGGUGGCGAGUGGCGGACGGGUGAGGAAUACAUCGGAAUCUACUUUUUCGUGGGGGAUAACGUAGGGAAACUUACGCUAAUCCCGCAUACGACCUACGGGUGAAAGCAGGGGAUCUUCGGACCUUGCGCGAUUGAAUGAGCCGAUGUCGGAUUAGCUAGUUGGCGGGGUAAAGGCCCACCAAGGCGACGAUCCGUAGCUGGUCUGAGAGGAGGAUCAGCCACACUGGAACUGGGACACGGGCCAGACUCCUACGGGAGGCAGCAGUGGGGAAUAUUGGACAAUGGGCGCAAGCCUGAUCCAGCCAGACCGCGUGGGUGAAGAAGGCCUUCGGGUUGUAAAGCCCUUUUGUUGGGAAAGAAAAGCAGCAGGUUAAUACCCCGCUGUUCGGACGGGACCCAAAGAAUAAGCACCGGCGAACUGCGU
rnacentral:rRNA from 1 species